rnacentral:lncRNA from 1 species
UGCAUUAAGUAUCUGAAAAAGCAAACAUAUCACUGAAAACUCUUGAUUGACUGAAAACCAAUCAAAAUGAGAUCAAGGUCAGAGUAAACAUGCAGACAGACAUGUACUGCUUACAAUCCUUUUGAGAAACAAACAUCACCAUUAAAACUUGUCAUUGAAAAAUGAACCUUAAAAAUAAGGUCAAGGUCAGAUGAAUACAGCCAAACAGACAUGUACACCUUACAAUCAUUCCAUACAACUAAUAUGGUUGACUUAUCGCUUUUAGUACAAUUUAUUUGAAAAACAGAAAACAUUGAAUACUUAACAUUGACUAGGAAACGGAGUUCUGAUAAAUUCUGCCACAUAAACAUAUACACCUUACAACUAUUCUAUAUAAGGAGACCCACACGUAGCCGAAACCUACCAGUCAGACAUGUACUCCUUACAAUCAUUACAUAUACUUAUAGUUGCCCUACUCUUAGCUUUUUGGUACUUGAGAUUCAGACCUCACCACGAAAACUUGAUUACUGCAGGUUCAUAAAGUGAGGUCAAGGUCACGAAAACGCUGACUGACAGACAUGCAAGCCUUGCAAGCUAGGAAGCUAUAUACUAUACUUGUGGUACUUUCAUGAGUAUUUCACAUGACAAGAAACUAUAAUUUGUUUUCAAGCAGUCUGACUGAAUCAUGACAAUAAGAUAAAGUACAAAAGACAUGCAUACAAGUAAUGAAGCCUUAAGGUAUCAAUGGCGGAUCCAGAAAUUUUCAUAAGUGGGGGCCCACUGACUGCCUAUGAGGGGGCCCACUGACUGCCUAGCUUCAGUGGUUCCCUUUACAACCAACCAAAAGUAAAAUAAAUAAAAAAUCUCAACGUAAGUCCCUACGCAAAUGACAAAAUCGAAAGCUCAAACCCAUCAAACGAAACAGAGUAUGUUAGAUUAACAUUACCAUACUCCGUCUCCACACAAACCCCUCGUUAUUCUCUC